rnacentral:rRNA from 1 species
UACGAAGGGGGCUAGCGUUGCUCGGAAUCACUGGGCGUAAAGGGUGCGUAGGCGGGUCUUUAAGUCAGGGGUGAAAUCCUGGAGCUCAACUCCAGAACUGCCUUUGAUACUGGGAAGCUUGAGUCCGGAAGAGGUGAGUGGAACUCCGAGUGUAGAGGUGAAAUUCGUAGAUAUUCGGAAGAACACCAGUGGCGAAGGCGGCUCACUGGUCCGGUACUGACGCUGAGGUGCGAAAGCGUGGGAGCAAACAGG